CGUUUUCAAAAAAAAAAGUCUUUGCCUGGUUCGAUUGUUUUGGAUUUUCACUCUCCAGACAGAAUUCCCUAAAGGUUUGAAUGAUACCAACUCUUAUGACUGGUUUUUUAUAAAUCUGUUGUAUUUCUUUAAAUGCGACUCAUGAGUUCAAUGUUACACACUGCUUUGUAGAAUACCUGUGUGAGUUUCUUGGCUAUUUAAACAACAGGUUGAGCCAUUUAGGCUCAUACUCGCAGUAGAAUAAAACCUUAUGCAGAGUAUCUUUGAUUUGAAACAGAAUGCUUUGUAAGUAUAGACAUAAUAUCUUUUCAUUGUUUUAUUUUUAUCCAUUCUGUGUUUAAUGUAUCAAGACAACAACUUGUAAGCCACUGUAUGUUCCCAAUAGGUUCCACGACAUCUAUGAAAGACUGUAUGGUUUAUUGAGUACAUGCUUGAAUUGUUUGAACUAAAUAACAAAACCACAGAAGCCAGACAGACCCACCAUGGAAGGAUUUCCAAGGUGCUGAAGGGCGAGGAAGCGAUCAAGGAAGCAUUCAUCCAUCUCCUGAUAGUAAAGCACAUGGCAGCAAGCAGUUCCAUGGUCAGCUAUUUAUAACAUGUUAUUUCUAAGCUUUAUCCUGAAGGCAUCUAUUAUGGCACAAAAUCAGUGGGUGUCUUGAUAGCAAAUAAGCACUCUGUCCAUAUUGUCCUAUUUCCCAAAAAUCACUGCUUCUUCCAUUAAAGUUGCAUUAUUUGGCAGAUACAAAUUUAGGACCUUGGGUAGUUCCUUUCUGUAAGGUUAAUCGGAUGUUUUAUUUUGCACAUAAUUUAUUGUGACAUCAAUGAUGUUUCCCAUAUGAAAAGGAGUGGCAUAGUUCCAUUCAGGAAUAAAAUACAUUGCAAUGGUUAUGCUUAUUUUUAUUUCUCUCACUUUCCUUCUCAUUCAAACAUUACGGAUGAGUCAUACUAGUUAUCUCUAGGCAGCCGCAUGCAUACACACAAUCAUAAUCUCAUUUUAAAAGUCUUUGUCCAUUAUAUGCAUGGAAAGAAUUUUACCUGAACCUCUGAUAUUAAAGAGAGAAAAAACUGCAAACCUAUUUGUAUAAGCUUGAAUCUGGUUGUGAAACUGUUCUGCAGUCCUGAUACAAAGCAAACUUUAAAAGAGACAUCAGGGUGCUAACAUUCUUUUGAAUUGGGUUCAGUACUAUGGAUAGCUCCUUCAAAUGUACAAAACUAAGAUCCUAGAAUGAAGGGAUGGACAGACUACAGCACUAUGUCUUACCCUGCAAUCCCAGUUUGGGUCUCUAAAUCUGAUGUUUGCAUGGCAGAAAGGCAUCCUGUUUUCUCCAGUGGGUUUUUUUAUGACCCAAAAAUAAAUUGAGAUAUGCAUUUCAAAAUUCUGAAUGCUUUAUUAUACAGAAGCAAAACUGAGGUCAGAAAAAAAAACAUAAAUUAGUUGAUUUUCUGAUAAAAGAUAAAAUAUUUGCUAGUUUUUGACAAAAAAAUGGGUGCCAAUGUACCCUAAUUUUCUGAUCUCUUCUCCUUAUUCUUUCUUUUCAAGAUCAACAGUGACAGCAUAGGUUGUAUCCAGUGAAGCCCAUAUUCUGAUUUUUGUUUUGUCUUCUCUACAUUUCUUCACGUAAAUUGAUAUAAAUUCAUCAGUGAAAUUCGGAAAAAAUACAUAAUUGCUUCUUCAUGCUGAACCAAACUGAAUAACUGCUUAAGUUCAAUUCAGUUGUUUUGGGGGUGUUUCUACUUUCUCGACAUAAAACUGUGUGGUUGUUUUUACACCAACAAGCCUUUGAUAAUUAAGCUAGCAGCCUAGGCAGACGUUUGAAUGUAAGCUGGUAUGCUUUUAGAGGGGAUCUAGUUGGUUGCUGACUAGUAUUUUAAAGGUGCACUUUUAACUAAUUUCCUUCCAUUUUAUGUUUUAAUCCUGGUUUUUUAAAUGUAAUUUUAUUAAGUGCCUUUUAUGUCACAAAACCAGGAAUAACUGAAAGAAUGCAAGCAAAUAAGCUCCUGUUUAUUACUGUUCACUUCCAGUUAUUUUAUUUAGACAUAGGAUAGGAUAGGAUGUGAUAGGAUUCAAAAUCAAUUUUCCACUUGGCACAUGUCUCUGCUUACGACUGGAACAUUUCUAUCCACCCACAUCCAAUAUUUAUGUAAUCCUCCAGAGUAACAGGCAACAUUGAAAUUUAGAAAUAUUUCUUUCCCCUUGAUAGUUUCACCCAACACCUGAGCUGCUGAUUAAAGAUGCAGAAUCCUCUAAUAGAUUUCACCUUUCUGAAUGGGUUUAUAGAAUCUUAAUUGGAUACAGGUGGAUGAACCAUCUCAAAAGGCAUGCCUGACUCUUCAACAGCUGCAGUCCUUAUAAGACACUUGAAUUUCAAAAGUACGAUAUAACAUCAUCAGGGAUUUGUGUGUGCCAGUAAUCUGGCGGCUGCCAUUUGAAGAGCAAAACAAAUACUCAUUUGCAAGUUUAUUUGGUAUUUGAUAAUUUUGUAUUCCUUAAGAAACAAAAAAACUAGUGCAUCACAUUAUCAUGUUUAGAGCUGUAAAUCAUUUCAACUCAUUUAGCUGAAAUUACUUAUAUGAUUACCUCUGAUAUAUCCAACAGGUACCUAAAGUGAUAAAUACCAUAAUCCAGCCCAGAAUUAGGUCAAUGGUCUUAAUCAUAUCUAACUGUGUAGUGGCCAUAACUGUCUCAUUUUAAUUAUUGAAGAAGUGGAGGAAUAGUCAAUCCAAUGCAGUUUAGAAUGCUGAAAUCCACUAAAAUCAAUAGGUCAAAAUGACCUCUACUAUGUAGCCAAUUACAUUCUAGGAAAUCAUGAAACCUGUGCUGAUAUUAAUCAGUAUUCAGCUAAAAUAGUAAUCAGCAGAAUACCUAUUAAAAUUAUAAUCGCUUAUUAGUCCCAUCCUUCCUGUGUUCACAAGAUGUUCAGCACAAUUAAAACAUAUAUUUUGCCAUUGUUGUCAGAUAUGUCUUCCUUCUUUAUCAGAAAUGCCAGUUUUGAGCUGCUCAAACCAAAUCUAACUUCAGAUAAAAUGUGUUCUAUGAGCAACUAGAAUGAG
ensembl:lncRNA